GAUCCUAUGGUCAUGUGCUCCAUGGAGAAGUGCUGAGCAUAUUUAUUGGUGGAGCUGGAGAGCUGCACCUUGAAAUUCGUUUAAAGGAUCUGCAAGAGGACUUCAUGGGUGGUGCUGAAAUUACUGUUUUUUCCUCUUGGAAUCUCACUUGGAUUUUUCUAUGACAUCCAAGAAAAAUGAAGCUUGAUGAUUGUGUACCUCAGAAAAGAAUCAUAGUGAAGUUACCAAUAUGCUCCAUAUAUAAAUUUCUUUUAUGUGUUUUAGCUUCUCUGACUGUACAAUAAUUUGUAUCCUUGCAAAGUUUUGCAGACUCUACCAGUUGAGCUAACAGUCUGUCUUAUGAGUCGGUUGGUACACCACAGGUUAAUUGCGUCAUCAAAUGACUCUGGUGUAGAACUAAGGUUCUUUUCUCAGGUACUUUAUUUUUCUCCUACCCAUGUCAAUAUUGUGCAACUGGUUCUUUUGCAUCUCUAGAGACCUAUGAAUGUUUGCUACCUCAAGCCUCUUUGGUGUAGCUGUUAUUGUUCACUGAGACCAUUUCACUCAUUAAUUUAUUUAAAUUUAGGUGACUAUAUCAAUGUGAAUCAGAAUUACGAUGCAUUACUUGUCCAUUUUUAUAUUUAGUAUUUUACAUGAUCCACAUUGAUUUAGUGAGCUAAUAGACUGCAGCUCGAGAUUCUGUUUUGCUGCUUUGGAUGGUUUAUCAAAUCAUUGCUCUUCAUUCUAUAAAUUCAUAGCCUUCCCGGCAAUGACACCUUUCAUCUAUGUUUGCUUUAAUGACUUCAGAAAAUAGAAUUUGAAUUUACUAAUUAUUUAAACUUGGUCAGUGAAUAGAUUGAGCUUUUUUAUUUCCUACCUCCGUAGCUUUUGUUGUGUAUAUGGCGUUGUUGUCAGUGAUAUUGUACCUAUUUUUUUGCUUUUUGAAGGAACACUUCUCAUCUGAUAAAGUAAAUAUCCCAGUAGGUCAUAGUUUUGUCUCCUUUAUGAUGCAUAUAUGGUUCUGUUUUGUUGCAUUCCAGUGUUAGUAUAUCUAUUUAUAUUUGAUGUGAUAUAGAAAGUUAGCACACCAGUUUGCCGGGUACCGCCUAGAAGAUGUCAGAACAUUGAUUUGAUUUUAUUUCAUGAUCAGGUACCACCUAAAAGAUGUCACAUGAAACUACAUGAAAAGUAGUUCUAGGCAAUGGCUCUACAUGCAGAACUGGCUAAACUACCCGCGAUAAAACAGAUAACAGUGACACCGUAGAUGAGCUCGGUGCUAUAUACAUAUUGAGUCCAUUAUCGAGGAGCCUGGCAACGAGCCUAUUAUAGGUGUUCCUGCCAUCGAGUCUAUUAUCAGAGUUCCAUUGUCGACUCUUAUCCUCUGCAUAGACAAGAUUGUUUGCCUAUAAUCGCAUUCAGAGAUAAUAGCACCCACCUCCCCCUUGUGCGAACUCGUACGUCUUCUCAUGUUGGCUUCCAUGGAUGAAGACUCCUGCGAUGAAGAGUCUAUGUCCACCCCAACUACUGUAGAAACAUCUGUUGUGAACAACCAUUUUGGCAAUCCAAUUCCUAUCCUAUGAUGUCGGUGUUUCCGCAUAUCAAAUUAAACAUAUUCCGUCUAUGUUUGAUUAUAUUAUGCAGAUGCUCCAAAAGAAACGCGGCGGAGAACCAUGUCUACAGAAAUAGGGAAGAGAAAUAAACAUAUGAGAGAUAAUAAAGAAUCAUAUUUGAGGUAGCUCAACACAGUUGAGCUUUGGUGUUGGGGUUCCAUGGUGUUUCCUAGGGCUCUCCUCAUUGUGAGACGUGGUGAAACCUAAGGUAACAUUAGGCACCCGAAAAUUUGAGAAAAUGGCUCCAUAAGAGGAACCGAAGGGGAAGUCUAUGAAGCCAGGGAAGUGGUUGGCUAGGGGAGGGCCAAGGAGAGGCCACCUCCUGUCGCCAUCACCUCUACCACCGCCGCAAUUCCCCUUCAGCUCAAGCGCAUCUAGGUGCAGGCUUACCGGAGGGUUGGAGCAGAGCCGGGUAGGGGUCAGUGAGAUGAUGGCUGGGAAGAGGAGAAGCUCAUGUUCGGGUGCCCGUAAGCUUUUGGUGAAUUGGUUCGAGGGUGGUAUUUUUUCAUGUUAUGUCCCUAUCCUGGGCUCUGAUGCAAAUAUUCAUGUGCCCAUCGUGACAAUGAACUUCUCCUUAUGGAUGAAAAAUAUGUGCUCAUAUUCAUGUCCACAUAUGGAUGCUGCUUAUACUUUGUACGGUAAUUCUCUUGGUUUGUCAUGCGAUCAGUUACUUACCUACUUGUGUAGUUCAUUCCAGCACAAUAUGACCAUCGCAGG